CAUUGCACAGACUUAAUUGUCUUGUGUCAUAGUCCCUAGAAUACCCCUCCUAGCUCCCAGCUGCCUGUCCAGAAGGCCUUGGAGCAGGCCUCCUACAAGCCUGUACAGCACCUAUGAGUCCAUGAAGAUGUCCCAGAUCCUCUACAGCACAUCUCAGAAGCCAUUAUAUGUUCAGCUUGGAUUUGGUAAAGCAAAGAGACAAACAGAAGUAUGAGAGCGGCAAGAUAUGAGAAACUUGUUAACUGAAAGGAGAGAAGCUUGAAGGAAGCAUGAAGAUAACAAGGUGAUUAAGAAGCAUGACAGAAGGGACCAGAGAACUAGGGAGAAGCAGAAAGCCAGGCACAAAGACAGGGGGAAAAAAAGCCACACAGAAAGCAGGUCAGGACCAGGAGUUCACAAGGCAACCAAAAGCAGGUGGGGUUUUCUCUGACAAAGCAAGAGCCUAAGUGACUGACCCACUCUUAUUUAUUAGCAUCCUGACAGAGGGACACCCAGCACCUGCAACCUGGCCUAGCUAGACCCUGGGCACUGAAUCACUUCUUCCUAUGCUUCAAUCACCACUGAAAGAGCAAAUCACACUGUACCUGAACUCAAUCCCACUAAAGCCAAGGAAAAGGCUGCUGCUUCAAAUUACAAUUAAUAAAAUCUGAAAUGCA